GACGAACGCUGGCGGCGUGCUUAACACAUGCAAGUCGAACGGAAAGGCCCUGCUUUUGUGGGGUGCUCGAGUGGCGAACGGGUGAGUAACACGUGAGUAACCUGCCCUAGACUUUGGGAUAACUUCAGGAAACUGGGGCUAAUACCGGAUAGGAGCUCCUGCUGCAUGGAGGGGGUUGGAAAGUUUCGGCGGGUGGGGAUGGACUCGCGGCUUAUCAGCUUGUUGGUGGGGUAGUGGCUUACCAAGGCUUUGACCGGUAGCCGGCAUGAGAGGGUGACCGGCCACAUUGGGACUGAGAUACGGCCCAGACUCCUACGGGAGACAGCAGUGGGGAAUAUUGCACAAUGGGCGGAAGCCUGAUGCAGCAACGCCGCGUGCGGGAUGACGGCCUUCGGGUUGUAAACCGCUUUCGCCUGUGACGAAGCGUGAGUGACGGUAAUGGGUAAAGAAGCACCGGCUAACUACGUG
rnacentral:rRNA from 1 species